AAGUAAAUAUAAGUAUUUAAAGCCAGCAUAUAAAUAUAUCCAGGGAAAGCACUUUCCCACGCACACUAAUAAUGGAACAGCAGAAGUUCUGGAUUUCACAAGCAGUACUGGCUCCCGAGGAUCAAAAAUGGAUGCCUCCAGGAAAACGUCACAAAGACCUCUUCUUUACGUCAUUAUCAUCCUGUGUGCCAGGAGUGUUGGAUCUUUUAUUGUUAUGGUUUCAUCACAGGGGAGCCUCUCCAUGAGAACACUUGGCUUCUUAGGAGUCCAUCAGCAUCUGUGACUAAUUCCCUGUUGUUUGCAGCAUCAACUGUAGCUCUAGUAAAAUGACUGUCAUCAUGAGAAGUAUGACUUCAUCUGGGUAAUCAUCAUGAGAAGAGACAGAUGAACUUCUGAGACGCAGAGAUUUUGCUUUUUAUAUCAAUGUGUCAAAAUGGAAGAAAAAUAAAAUAUAGGCCAUUUGGCAGAACUCCUUC